rnacentral:rRNA from 1 species
AUUGAACGCUGGCGGCAUGCUUUACACAUGCAAGUCGAACGGCAGCGCGGGCUUCGGCCUGGCUGCGAGUGGCGAACGGGUGAGUAAUGCAUCGGAACGUGCCCAGUAGUGGUGGAUAGCCCGGCGAAAGCCGGAUUAAUACCGCAUACGACCUGAGGGUGAAAGCUGGGGACCGAAAGGCCUCGCGCUAUUGGAGCGGCCGAUGUCGGAUUAGCUAGUUGGUGGGGUAAAGGCUUACCAAGGCGACGAUCCGUAGCUGGUCUGAGAGGACGACCAGCCACACUGGGACUGAGACACGGCCCAGACUCCUACGGGAGGCAGCAGUGGGGAAUUUUGGACAAUGGGGGCAACCCUGAUCCAGCCAUGCCGCGUGCGGGAAGAAGGCCUUCGGGUUGUAAACCGCUUUUGUUCGGGAAGAAAUCCUCUGGGCUAAUACCCCGGGGGGAUGACGGUACCGGAAGAAUAAGCACUGGCUAACUACGUG